rnacentral:rRNA from 1 species
GUGUCAGCCGCCGCGGUAAUACGUAGGGGGCAAGCGUUGUCCGGAUUUACUGGGCGUAAAGCGCGUGUAGGCGGAAAUGCCAGUCCGGCCUGAAAGCCCCCGGCUCAACCGGGGAUCCGGGUCGGAAACUGCAUUUCUUGAGGGCGGAAGAGGCGUGUGGAAUUCCUGGUGUAGCGGUGAAAUGCGUAGAGAUCAGGAGGAACACCCAAGGCGAAGGCAGCACGCUGGUCCGACCCUGACGCUGAGACGCGAAAGCGUGGGGAGCGAACGGGAUUAGAAACCCUCGUAGUCC